CGGCGUAGCUCAGGGGUAGAGCAACUGAUUCGUAAUCAGUAGGUCGUAGGUUCGAAUCCUACCGCCG
rnacentral:tRNA from 1 species